CAGUCGCCACGGGAACACGUAGGGUGCGAGCGUUAAUCGGAAUUACUGGGCGUAAAGCGUGCGCAGGCGGUUCGUUAAGUCAGAUGUGAAAUCCCCGGGCUCAACCUGGGAACUGCAUUUGAGACUGUAUGGCUAGAGUGUGUCAGAGGGGGGUAGAAUUCCACGUGUAGCAGUGAAAUGCGUAGAUAUGUGGAGGAAUACCGAUGGCGAAGGCAGCCCCCUGGGAUAACACUGACGCUCAUGCACGAAAGCGUGGGGAGCUAACAGGAUUAGAUACCCGCGUAGUCCCUGUCUCUUAUAC
rnacentral:rRNA from 1 species